CAAAAAAAGAGUUUGAUCCUGGCUCAAAAGGAAUGCUAGCUAUAUUCUUAACACAUGCAAGUUGAACGUUAUGUUCAGGGAGCUGCGCAGAAGGAAAAUAAGCUCCUAGAUAAAGGUAGCUUGUCUCAUCCAGGAGGUGAGAAGAGUUGAGAACAAAGUGGCGAAUGGAUGUGUAAUGCAUGGGAAUCUGUCGAACAGUUUGGGCCAAAUCCUAAAGAAAGCUAAAAAGCACUAUUUUAUGAGACUGCGUAGUAUUAGGUAGUUGGUUAGGUAAAGGUUGACCAAGCCGAUGAUGCUUAGCUGCUCUUUUUGAAAGAUCAGCCACACUGGACUGAGAUAUGGCUCGAACUCCCACGGAGGGCAGAGUGGGGAAUCUUGGACAAUGGGUGAAAGCUCGAUCCAAUAAUAUUGCAUGAGUAAAGAAGUUCAAUGUCGCUUGUAAGCUCUUUCAUCGAGUGCGCAAUCAUGAAAGGACUUGAGAAAGAAACCCCGACUAACUCCAUACCAGCAAUUGCGAUAAGAAGGGAGGGGAGGCAAGUGUUCUUCAAAAUAAUUGGGUGUGAAGGGUACGUAGGUGGUGAAUCAAGUUGAAAGUGAAAGCCGCCAAAAAUUAGUGGAAUACUGUCGAAUAAUUUACUUGAGUGAGAUAGAUAAAAGGGGAAUUUCAUAUGUAGGGGUGAAAUCCAGAGAUCUACAAAGGAACGCCAAAAGCGAAGGCAGGUCUCUAGGUCCCUACCAAUGCUGAAGUGCAAAAGCAUAGGGAUCAAACAGGAUUAGAUACCCUGGUAGUCCAUGCCGUAAAUGAUGAGUGUUUGCCCUUAGUCUAUGUGAAUUAGGGGCCCAACUAACUCAUGAAACACUCUGCUAGGGGAGUACAGUCACAAGACCGAAACUCAAAAAAAUUAAUAGAUGCCUGCACAAGUGGUGGAUCAUGAUGUUUAAUUUGAUAAAACGCACAAAACCUUACCAGCGCUUGACAUAUGAACAAGAAAAUAUGUCCUUAACGGGAUUGUACUGACUUUCAUACAGGUGUUGCAUGGCUAUCAUCAGCUCAUGGCAUGAGAUGUUUGUCCAAGUCCUAUAAUAAUCAAAACCCUCAUUUUGUGUUGCUGAUACAUGCACCGAAGGAGAAAGUCUUUGCAACCAAAUUAAGCUGAGAAGCCGAGUGACGUGCCAGCGCUACUAAUUGAGUGCCAGCACCUAGCUGUGCUGUCAGUAAAAAGGUAGCUGACGCCUUUCAAAUCACUUUCUAUUUCUAGUUAGCACUGCUUUUAUUGUAGCUAGAGCUCUUAACUAAUAAGAUAGAAAUGGCCUUUCCCUCUUGUUUAGUAAAUUCAAGUUUUUAGACUUAUCUUGCAGGUGACGACGACAUCAAAUUGAGGGUAGAGAAAUACGCGGCAUUCAGGUGAGCCACACAAUGGUGUGGUACGUAGUGGGUUUAAUAUGCCCCGUCCAAACAAACAGCUCUGAAAUAAACAAAAAGGUGCAUAUCACAUUCAUGAAAGACUAACAGUGAUAUACUGAAGAAAGGUGGGGAUGACAUCAAGUUCGCAUGGCCCUUAUGGGCUAGCCACACACGUGCUACAAUAGAAAUUACAAUAGGAAGUAAGGGUGUAAGGCGGAGCGAAUCUGGAAAGAUUGCCUCAGUUCAGAUUGUUCUCUGCAACUCGGGAAUAUGAAGUUGGAAUUGCUAGUAAUCUCGAAUCAGCAUACCAUGGUGAAUAUGUACCUGGGCCCUGUACAUACCGCCCGUCACACCCUAGGAAUUGGUUUCGCCCGAAGCAUCGGACAAAUAAUUACCCAUGACUUCUGUGGUACACUAGUGCCACAAAGGCCUUUAUUGGUCUUAUUGACGCAUACCACGGUGGGGUCUUCGACUGGGGUGAAGUCAUAACAAGGUACCCAUAGGGGAACCUAUGGUUGGAUUAAAUCUUUC
rnacentral:ncRNA from 1 species